rnacentral:rRNA from 1 species
GACGAACGCUGGCGGCGUGCUUAACACAUGCAAGUCGAACGCUGAAGCCUAGCUUGCUGGGUGGAUGAGUGGCGAACGGGUGAGUAACACGUGAGUAACCUGCCCUCUUCUUUGGGAUAACGCCCGGAAACGGGUGCUAAUACUGGAUAUUCACUGAUCUUCGCAUGGGGGUUGGUGGAAAGGUUUUUUCUGGUGGGGGAUGGGCUCGCGGCCUAUCAGCUUGUUGGUGGGGUGAUGGCCUACCAAGGCUUUGACGGGUAGCCGGCCUGAGAGGGUGACCGGUCACAUUGGGACUGAGAUACGGCCCAGACUCCUACGGGAGGCAGCAGUGGGGAAUAUUGCAUUAUGGGCGAAAGCCUGAUGCAGCGACGCCGCGUGAGGGAUGGAGGCCUUCGGGUUGUAAACCUCUUUCGCUCAUGGUCAAGCCGCAGCUUUGGGUUGUGGUGAGGGUAGUGGGUAAA